AGAGUUUGAUCCUGGCUCAGAGCGAACGCUGGCGGCGUGCUUAACACAUGCAAGUCGAACGCGCAGCAUUCUGUAGCAAUACAGGGUGUGGGCGCGUGGCGAACGGGUGCGUAACACGUGGAUAACCUUCCUUGAGGUGGGGAAUAACCCAGUGAAAAUUGGGCUAAUACCGCAUAACAUGACGAUGGCACAUGCUGUUGUCUUCAAAGGCGCAAGUCGCCACAAGAGGGAUCCGCGGCCGAUUAGCUUGUUGGCGAGGUAAUGGCUCACCAAGGCAAUGAUCGGUAGCCGGACUGAGAGGUUGGCCGGCCACACUGGAACUGAGACACGGUCCAGACUCCUACGGGAGGCAGCAGUGGGGAAUCUUGCACAAUGGACGAAAGUCUGAUGCAGCAACGCCGCGUGGGGGAUGAAGCUUCUCGGAGUGUAAACCCCUUUCGACCCGGAAGAAUGCCCGCAAGGGUUUGACGGUACGGGUAUAAGAAGCCCCGGCUAACUACGUGCCAGCAGCCGCGGUAAUACGUAGGGGGCCAGCGUUGCUCGGAAUUACUGGGCGUAAAGGGUCCGUAGGCGGUGCGGCAAGUCGAGAGUGAAAUCCCUAGGCUUAACCUAGGGGCUGCUAGCGAAACUGCCGUGCUAGAGUGUGAGAGAGGCGAGUGGAAUUACGGGUGUAGCGGUGAAAUGCGUAGAUAUCCGUAGGAACAUCCGAGGCGAAAGCGGCUCGCUGGAUCACAACUGACGCUGAGGGACGAAAGCUAGGGGAGCAAACAGGAUUAGAUACCCUGGUAGUCCUAGCCCUAAACCAUCAGACUUGGGGUUUGCCCUGUACGGGGCAAGUCCCGUAGCUAACGCGUUAAGUCCUGCGCCUGGGGAGUACGGUCGCAAGGCUGAAACUCAAAGGAAUUGACGG
rnacentral:rRNA from 1 species